GAUGAACGCUGGCGGCGUGCCUAAUACAUGCAAGUCGAGCGAACGGACGAGAAGCUUGCUUUUCUGAUGUUAGCGGCGGACGGGUGAGUAACACGUGGAUAACCUACCUAUAAGACUGGGAUAACUUCGGGAAACCGGAGCUAAUACCGGAUAAUAUUUUGAACCGCAUGGUUCAAAAGUGAAAGACGGUCUUGCUGUCACUUAUAGAUGGAUCCGCGCUGCAUUAGCUAGUUGGUAAGGUAACGGCUUACCAAGGCAACGAUGCAUAGCCGACCUGAGAGGGUGAUCGGCCACACUGGAACUGAGACACGGUCCAGACUCCUACGGGAGGCAGCAGUAGGGAAUCUUCCGCAAUGGACGAAAGCCUGACGGAGCAACGCCGCGUGAGUGAUGAAGGUCUUCGGAUCGUAAAACUCUGUUAUUAGGGAAGAACAUAUGUGUAAGUAACUGUGCACAUCUUGACGGUACCUAAUCAGAAAGCCACGGCUAACUACGUG
rnacentral:rRNA from 1 species